AGCUUUGCGCAGUGGCAGUAUCGUAGCCAAUGAGGUUUAUCCGAAGUGUGAUUAUUGCUAAUUGAAGUAGAAAGUCAGGUAGGCAAUGUGCGCCCUUGCCUGGAAAAAUACACUAGAGCAGGAAAUAAAGGUCUGGCAGUUCAGA